UUACAAUCUAUAAGCCAUAUUCAGCAGAUGCUGGCAGCAUCUCUGUUUAAUCAUUACUUAAGAAAAGAUCCCCAAGUGCAAGUAAUACUGUCCAGUCCUCCAGUGGUUGCCCUGAAAUUUUACUCUUCCCCAAGGGAUUUAUAUCGCCUGUUCCUGGCAAGCCUGAUCCAACGCAGCCCUCAUCUGGAUGAAUCUUGCCUCUACGUCAAUAAGACAAUUCCGAAAACAUGCAAGAUUUCAAUGAGACCGCAACAGCUGACCUCAGUGGACUCUGCUAAAGAGCUAUAAGGCAGGAUUUCGAUCGCACCUCCAAGGUGAAAGAGAGCACCACGUCAGACUUGGAG